UAUGGCCAUCUCACAUUGAAACACCGGUUCUCGUACGAUCACUGAAGUUAAGUAACGUCGAGCCUGAUCAGUAUCUAGAUGGGUGAUCGCUUUAGAAUACCGG